UACAGAGGGGUGCAAGCGUUUAAUCGGAAUUACUGGGCGUAAAGCGUGCGUAGACGGUAGCGUAAGUCGGGUGUGAAAGCCCCGGGCUCAACCUGGGAAUUGCAUUCGAGACUGCUCUGCUAGGGUGCGGAAGAGGGAAGCGGAAUUUCCGGUGUAGCGGUGAAAUGCGUAGAUAUCGGAAGGAACACCAGUGGCGAAGGCGACUUACUGGACACAUAUUGACGCUGAGGCGCGAAAGCGUGGGGAGCAAACAGG
rnacentral:rRNA from 1 species